GCACCAUUAGCUCAUCAGGAUAGAGCAAUUGCCUUCUAAGCAAUCGGUAACUGGUUCGAAUCCUGUCGCG
rnacentral:tRNA from 1 species